GCCGACUCGCCCCCUCAUGUUCCUCCCCAUCGCCUCCUCUCUCUGCCCGCUCGUCGCCGCCGCUCUCACCCACGCGCUCGUGAAUGCCGUCACGCCGGCGCCGGAGCCCGCGCGCUCGCGACCGCCCGCUCGCCCGUGCCCCCCUCCUGCGUGGCCCCGUCGCCCCCUCACUCCCCGUCCGCUCGCCACCACUGCUCUCACCCGGCCCCCGCGCUCGCGAACUUCAUCACGCCGGCCCCCACGCGCUCGUGACCACCAGCUCGCUGCGCGCCCCUCCUCCACCGAGCCACGGCCCCCUUCUGCGCAGCUCCCGACACCGACAUCGGUUCCGCCCUCAACGACACUGGCAUCGGUUCCCCCUCUCGCUUGCCGCCGCUAUCGCCUCUCCACUACUCCCCCUUGCUCUCCAUCCUCCUAGCGCACCGGGCGUCUCUGGCUCCCAGCGCUCCGCGGCUCCCCGACGCGAGGCCUACGGUCCGCCGGCUCUGGCCGCGCAGCACCUCCGGCCUCCCAACGCUCCGCGGCUCCAGACGUGAGGCCCAUGGCCCACAGGAUCUGUGCGCGCGGCGCCUCCAAGGUCCUCUACCGCAUUCGGUGAGUAAUCCAGCGUUCCUCUUGCUCUGGUUCCAUUGUUUCUCUUGCUGUUCGUCUUCCUUUUGGCCGUCUUGGGGUGAGCGAGAGGUCUGGUUGGUAGUUCUGCUGCUAAGCCGCUUCAGCACCUGAAACACCGGUUAUAUUUGAUUUGUUCUGAUUCCAUUCGAGAGGACGGGAACUUGUGGGAAACAACUCAUAAGAUUUGAAGUCAGCUUAGUAAACAAGGUGCAGGGAUUGGAACAACAGUUUGCACUGGGAUCAAACAGAACUUUGGAGAUACAAAACCAUCAGUACACGUACUUUAGCUGAACGUAUCUACUGGUUCGUCAGACCUUCUUUAGUGCAUAUUUUGCAGUUUCAGUUUUCUACCAAUUUUAUUGGUUAUGUACUGAGGAAUGACUUAUGGUGCUAUCCUUAACAUGGAUAAAUUCACUUCACAUCGCCUGGAACUCGGAAGAUUAAUGCUGGAAGUUUAGCUAACACCUAUUGCAUAUUUGAGUAGGCUUUUGGCUCCUUCGAGGUUGAGGUUCAGGCUAGCUUUAGUAUGUUAAGGAAUGCAGCUUUCGUUUGGCAUUGGAGUGUGUAUGCUUGAAUUAUAGUACUGGCUACUCAUAUAUAAUUAUGUGAGAGACUGAACUCCGAAGCAUAAUUAGCACUAUCAUAUUAUGUCACUGUAGGUUUCUAAUAUGAUUGCAUGCAGUAGGUGCUCUGAUGGAUUAGAUUAUCCUGUUUCCUUAUGAUUACUAUAUGAACAUAGGGGCACAUCUAUGGAAGUUCAGGUAAGCUCUCAUAAGCAGGCUCCUAAUUGCUUCAAAUAAUGGUGAGUUAGGUACGUGUACAUUUGCAGUUACAAAUAAUUUUCACAUUUUAGAGGUUACAACUGCAGGUCUUAGUUCUUUCAGCAUACCUUCAAGUUUGUAGAUCAGGUUUAGAGCAUUCCUGGUGGCUACUGGGUUGAAGAUGAGGUGAUCUUAUACAUGGUAACUAAUGCACAAACUUGCUUGACAUAGGCUCUGAUCCUGAUGCUAAAUGGGAAUUUUUGAACUAGACUAGAAACAAUGGCAUCAGGUUAGGUUUCUGCAUUAGAAAGAAGCUCAAUACCUACAUAUCAGGUAAUACAUUAUUUUAAUUAUCCAUUUUGAGUGUUUGUCCCACUGAAUUUGAAUGAAAAUUACAAUAAUCUCUUCAUAGACUAAAUAUGUUCAACUAGAAUAUUUUUGAAAUAUGAGUCACUGCAAACUUAUAUUGUGUCACACUUGAUAUGAGAGAAUGAUGGCGUAUCUGAAUUGUUUAUCACAGAAACUGUGAAGGAAAAAAUUGGCAUUUCUGAAAUGAGCUAUGCUUGGGUGUUGAUAUUUUUUAUUUCAUUGGGAAAGAAGAGGACUUUUCUGUGCAUUUUCAUCCAAACUCAAAUAUCCCAUUGUAAUGUACAACAAAAAAAACAAAAGGUGUGUAUAUAUGCACCCAAGCACUAUAUAAUAUAUGCAUUAAUGUUAGUUGGAUUUGUGUUUGCUAUAUCCUAUAUGACAGCUGAAUGAACUAGACAGAUACACUGAAUGGUAACUCGGUAAGUAUUUGGUAUUUGUCAAACUAAGAAAACUCAUACUGAACUAACUCAAAGUUUAAAUUACUGAAAACCAGCAAUCAUUCAAACAAGUCAGCUUGAAUAAUCUUUGCACUUACAUAUCCAGGUUCACAUGGUUUGCUUAUUCAAACAAGUGUACACAAUUGUAGUGUGGUAAGGUGGAUUCGGUGAUCUAUUAGAGCCGGACACCCGGACAAUGUGAUUUGAAUAUCUAGAGGAUUGGAGCUUCUGUUAGCCAUUAGUCACUGUUGUAACUUGUAAGAUUUUAAGUUGUAAGUCUAAUAUGGAGGAAGAAGAGUACUUGUGUAUCUGUGUCUCACAAUCAAGUUGGUUAUAUUUUAUUGAUUGAGUGUUCACAGGUUUAUUUCAUUGGGAAAUAAGGGGUCUUUAAUGUACAUUUUCAUCCAACCACACUGAAUUACUUUGGAUCAACGUUAUUUAUUAUGUCUUUUAGUUGACUUGAAUUACUUUGAAUUCUAACAAAUGUUUUGUCCCACCCGUAGCUACACUGCAAUCAACACCCGUAGCAACGCACGGGCAAUCAACUAGUCCUUACUAAAAUUAAGGUUCAGGUUGGUUUACUGGACUGAAGUUUACCAACUCUAUGUCAUGAUACUUCACGCACAAUUUAUCAUAGCACCUGACAUUCACAAGAUUGGGAGCACAGACACUCUGACCUGAUGAUCACAAACUUGGGUACACUCACCAAUUUUACAUUGCCAUUUUAUAAUCACAAAUAUGGCGUCACUACGAAGCUACCAGAUGUACAAUAACUUUAUUUAAAGCUAGCAUAUCAUUCAUUAAUGCCGCUAUCAUGAGAUACUUGUUCUGUAUGGAGGCGUAUAUUUUUUUAUUCCUGUUAUGUAAAUAAUCAUAACAAAAGCUUAUUUUUAUACUUAUUUGAGGAUCAUUAUCCUUAUUUGCAUCGUUUUUAUCUUAUUAUGCAAAAUUUCCCUCCUGAGCAGAAAAUUCCUAUUUGAGCUCUUACUAUGAUGGUUGGUGUAUAGUCUUGUUGAUGUAUAUAUUACAAGAGCAAGAGUAUUUUCUUAAUGCAGAAAAAUAGCUACAGAUUUAAUUUUGUCCAAAGAAGUCACAUUGUUAUUUUUUUGUUACUGUUCAACAUGCUUACCUACUUGUAACUCUGAAAUGUUCCAUAUUCCUUGUAGGUGUAUAUGUACACAUGUUGCCAUCUCAAAUGUUCUAUAUUCCUUGCAGUUUUACAUAUGCACGUGUCUUAUCACUCAGCUAUUCUGGUAGAAAAUGACAUUGCCUUGCAGCAUAUGGGGAUCAGUAUGUUGUAUUUUGUAGAGCAUUGCCCCUUGUCAUCUUUAUGAUCUAAAUAAAAUAAUACGAAAUUACCAUGUAUUGUUAUUUACUUUGUCAUCUAAGAAUUUAAGAGACAUGGAUAUUAGAUUAAUGAACAUAGUUUUUUUACAAUUAAUAAAUAUACACUUUUCAGAACUAAAAGCAAUCAAUUGAGUCUAUAGAAUCGUCCACCUUUGGCCCUGAGAAUUCUAUGUAGGAAUGCAAAAUGAAGAGAUACCACGAAGCAGGAGUCACAUUUAUUCUACCAUAUUCAAAAUUGAUACAAGACCUUCUCAAGAUGAACUAUGCUUAAGAAGCCAAAGUUCUUGCAAAUGAUCCAUUGGACUAUGAACCUAUGACUUGUAUACACUUCUGUCAUUUGCAACAGUUGAAUUACAAAUUCACUCAUAUGAUUGGUAGUUUCAGAUAAUGUUUGGCAGUUCCACGUAUAAAUUUUCCGUACUAUUUAGUGUCCUUUCCGAGCGUUCCUAGGGAAAGAAAAAAAAUCAUGUACUGAAAAUAAAUGGGAGUACAAAAUUGUUUGUUCUCUUUUGUGCAAGAUGAAAUUCAUAUCAAGAGGGUAUUUAGCAGGUAAUUAGUAGGUGAGAGCUUGGAUCAUGGUUGGUAUAAAGCCUUAAAUAUGCAAUGUA